rnacentral:rRNA from 1 species
GACGAAGGUGGCGACCGUUGUUCGGAAUCACUGGGCAUAAAGAGCACGUAGGCGGCAGGGUGUGUCGGGUGUGAAAUCCCUCGGCCUAACCGAGGAAUUGCGCCCGAAACUACCCUGCUUGAGGAUGGAAGGGGAGCGUGGAAUUCCUGGUGGAGCGGUGAAAUGCGUUGAUAUCAGGAGGAACACCGGCGGCGAAGGCGACGCUCUGGUCCAUUACUGACGCUGAGGUGCGAAAGCCAGGGGAGCAAACGGG